rnacentral:rRNA from 1 species
UACGGGGGGAGCAAGCGUUGUUCGGAUUUACUGGGCGUAAAGGGCGCGUAGGCGGCCACCGCAAGUCGACUGUGAAAUCUCCGGGCUUAACCCGGAAAGGUCAGCCGAUACUGCGGGGCUAGAGUGCAGAAGGGGCAACUGGAAUUCUCGGUGUAGCGGUGAAAUGCGUAGAUAUCAGGAGGAACACCAAUGGCGAAGGCAGCUCGCUGGAACGGUACUGACGCUGAGGCACGAAAGCGUGGGGAGCGAACAGG